rnacentral:snoRNA from 1 species
AACCCAUGAUGAUGACACAUUCUCAAAAUAUCCUUAAAUAUCUCCCAUGAAUCAUAUAACAUCUAAAGCUCAAAUUGAGUAAAAGAAGAGAUGUCAUUCAUUAACUU